UUAAAAUUUCUAAAUUCAUAAAAUUUGAAAUAUAAUAACCAUAAGAAAUGAACUUUUUUUUUUUUUAAUGUUUCAGUGAUAUACCAAACAUGAAAAGAGUAUUUUGACAACACUGGCAAUACUAGCAAUGUAUCUAUUCAUUUUAAUCCUCAAAGUGUUUAGCCGCGUGCAUAUUUGGCCGUUUUCCUCCUUCUCUGCACUGCAGUGUUUAGCAGGCUGACAAUUUAAUUGCAACAACCUUCAGAGCUCUCUCAGUGCCUACAGGGGGAAGUUUAAAGGUAGAAGUUAACCUCAGCAUCACAAGAUAUGUGCUGGAGCCACUGUGCAGUCGCUCACGAGGCUGCUCAGGAGAGCCACCCGAGCAGGAGCCCGGCCGCCCCGAUCCACCUCUCCCUGCCUCCCACAGAGCAAGCCAAGGUACGUUAACCUCAUUAAACAACCAUUAGCUUUUGGGAAUCUCUACAUCUAGCUACACAGGAGUUCUCUAUAUAACGUGCAACAAUAGUCUUUGUGAAACACUUGGUUCUUUAAUCACUAUUUUUUCUGCUUUUGUGCUACUUCGAUGGACAAAGCUGCCCAGCUCCUGCUGAUGGUGAGCAUGCCUUAUCUGUAGUGCAGCAAAUAAAAGCUGUAUACCCAAUAAUUUGUUUGUUUUGCCCUUCUUAUCUCCAUUUUGGCAAGAAAAAGUCUUUUCUCUUUUACUGUUUUCCCAGAUCAGAUAGGAACAGGCCAUGGAGCCAGCUGGUAGGACUCAGUUCACUUAAGGACAAAACCCAGAAGCCAUGGAGAAGCCUAAGCCACUGAUUUCCAGGACAAUGUAGGCUCCUGCAAGGUCGUGUACUUUCUGAUACAGUGGGAUGUAGAGAUUCCUGAGAUGAUGUAGCUCCAGAUGGAUCUAUACAAGCUAAAAUGCUCACAUUUCUGCCAGGACUUCUGCAUGGAGCCGCACAAUGGAGAGGCACUCUUGUGCGUUGCAGACGUACCACAGCACAGUAAGGGCUCUUAGUCAUUUUACAAGAAUUUGGGCUUCACAUGGACUGCCUGUUAAAAUGGCUACUUGGUUGCAAGCAAGGGACCCAAAGCAGCAGAUGAAAAUG
rnacentral:lncRNA from 1 species